rnacentral:rRNA from 1 species
AACGAACGCUGGCGGCGUGCCUAAUACAUGCAAGUCGAACGGCAGCGGGACCUUCGGGUUGCCGGCGAGCGGCGGACGGGUGAGUAAUGCCGAGGAAUGUGCCUGUGCGUGGGGGAUAACGCGGGGAAAACCGCGCUCAUACCGCAUACGCCCUACGGGACCAAGCGGGGGCGCCUCGGUCCUCGCGCGAACAGAUUAGCCUAGGUCGGAUUAGCUAGUUGGUGGGGUAAUGGGCCACGAAGGCGACGAUCCGUAACUGGUCUGAGAGGAUGAUCAGUCACACUGGAAAUGAGACACGGUCCAGACUCCCACGGGAGGCAGCAGUGGGGAAUAUUGGACAAUGGGCGAAAGCCUGAUCCAGCCAUGCCGCGUGUGUGAGGAAGGUCUUCGGAUUGUAAAGCACGUUAAGUCGGGAGGAAGGACUGUAGGCUAAUACCUAGCAGUUUUGACGUUACCGACAGAAUAAGCACCGGCUAACUUCGUGCCAGCCGCCGCCGUAAUAC